UUUGUUAUUAAGUCAAAGUGCGCGGAUCGCAUUUGUCGGAGGGGAGAGACUCCUGCCAAAUAAGUUGAACUUUGUCGUCAAGUCAAGUGAACUGUGUUCUUGUUGUUGUUGCCAAGUAUUUAUUUAUGUACAUCAUUUAAAAGGUGGCAUUUAUUGCACAUUAAAAGGUGUCAAGAAGCCGUUGAGCUUGUGCCUAAACUUAUUUAACAUAAAAAGCGCGUCAUUGUCUGGCCGAUCGGCAUCUGGAGAAGAUGGGCAAGUUCGAGUAUUCGCUGGGCCUCAAUGAGUUCAAGUCCAAGGAGCUGCGCCUUUGGCAAGCGCUCAUCGGCGAGUUCAUUGGCAAUCUGAUAUUGAACUUUUUCGCCUGUGGCGCCUGCACCCAGCCAGAGGAUGGCACCUUUAAGGCGUUGGCCUUUGGACUGGGCGUCUUCAUGGCCAUCACUAUCGUGGGCCAUCUGAGCGGCGGUCACGUCAAUCCCGCCGUGACCCUGGCCAUGCUCAUAGCUGGCCGCAUCAGCGUACUCCGAGCUGUCUUCUAUAUUGUCUUCCAGUGCCUGGGUGCCAUUGCCGGCACGGCUGCUGUCAAGAUCCUUCUCGAUCCGCUAUAUCACAACGGUCUGGGCCACACCAGCUUGGCCCACAACAUUUCCGAGCUGCAGGGCUUGGGCAUUGAGUUCUUCCUGGGCCUAGUUCUGGUGCUGACCGUGUUCGGCGCCUGCGAUGCCAACAAGCCGGACUCGCGCUACACGGCACCACUGGCCAUCGGCAUGGCCGUCACCUUGGGACACCUGGGCACUAUUCAGUAUACGGGCGCCAGCAUGAAUCCGGCUCGCACUGUGGGCACGGCCUUUGCUACCAACAACUGGAACGCCCACUGGGUCUACUGGGUCGGACCCGUGCUGGGCGGCGUGACGGCUGCUCUGCUCUACACCCAGGUGCUGGAGGCGAAGACUCCACCCAAGAGCAACGAGACCGCUGAGAAAUAUCGCACGCAUGCCGACGAACGUGAGGUGAGAGCUUUUGCGGCUUGGCACGAUAAGAGUUUCUAUUGAAACAGCAACGCGACACCUGAAACAUCCACAAACACACAUCCACACACACACACACGUACACACACACACACAUCCACAAACACUCACAUACUCUCAAAUUAAUCAGUCUGCGCAAACUGGAAGGAUCACGCGACUAUGCCUAAGGCGUUAGCCUGCUUCUGUAGCCUGCAUCACAUCGGGUCCACUCGAAUCCUGCGAGUCGAAUGGCAAAUGCUCACAAGAAUUGGAAGAAAGCAUGAUUCAAGUCUUUGUCUUGAUUCCGUUUCGUUGUAAUCUUGAAUAAUUUUUCAUAUACGUGUUAAUUUUUGUAUGUACGAGUAUUUAUGUAAUUAUUUAUGCAAACCCAUUUUAAAACUAAUACCUAAUUUAAGCUGUGCUUAACGCCAAUUCAACAAACUUCUUAUACUAUAUAUA
rnacentral:misc_RNA from 1 species